GGUACAGAAUUAAUAGGAAAUUGGCAUUUUUUUUUUUGGAGCCAUGACUGGAAGACUCAUGAAACUCAGCAA